rnacentral:rRNA from 1 species
GAACGCUGGCGGCAGGCCUAACACAUGCAAGUCGAGCGGCAGCGGUCNUUCGGGAUGCCGGCGAGCGGCGGACGGGUGAGGAAUGCAUCGGAAUCUGCCCUGUCGUGGGGGAUAACCUAGGGAAACUUAGGCUAAUACCGCAUACGACCCACGGGUGAAAGCGGGGGAUCGCAAGACCUCGCGCGACAGGAUGAGCCGAUGUCCGAUUAGCUAGUUGGCGGGGUAAAGGCCCACCAAGGCGACGAUCGGUAGCUGGUCUGAGAGGAUGAUCAGCCACACUGGGACUGAGACACGGCCCAG